GGCCCCAUCGUCUAACGGUUAGGACAGCGGGUUUUCAAUCCGUUAACCAGAGUUCGACUCUCUGUGGGGCUG
rfam:Candidatus Peribacteria bacterium RIFCSPHIGHO2_01_FTLL_55_13 rifcsphigho2_01_scaffold_890, whole genome shotgun sequence.